UGGGGAAUAUUGCACAAUGGGCGCAAGCCUGAUGCAGCCAUGCCGCGUGUAUGAAGAAGGCCUUCGGGUUGUAAAGUACUUUCAGUCGGGAGGAAGGUGUCAAGGUUAAUAACCUUGGCAAUUGACGUUACCGACAGAAGAAGCACCGGCUAACUCCGUGCCAGCAGCCGCGGUAAUACGGAGGGUGCAAGCGUUAAUCGGAAUUACUGGGCGUAAAGCGCACGCAGGCGGUUGAUUGAGUCAGAUGUGAAAUCCCCGGGCUUAACCCGGGAAUUGCAUCUGAUACUGGUCAGCUAGAGUCUUGUAGAGGGGGGUAGAAUUCCAUGUGUAGCGGUGAAAUGCGUAGAGAUGUGGAGGAAUACCGGUGGCGAAGGCGGCCCCCUGGACAAGACUGACGCUCAGGUGCGAAAGCGUGGGGAGCAAACAGG
rnacentral:rRNA from 1 species